GUUGCCUUUUCGAAAAAUAGGAAAGCGUUUUGAAAGCAUAGACCUACCUGAAGUGAAGGAGAAGCGAACAGAUUUACUAACAUGCUUCGACACGUGCAGUGAUUUAAAGUGUGUUGAUGAAAAAAUAUCAUCAGGAAGCUGUACAUUCUAAAGACAGUUUGCAAAAAUCUUGUCGAAACACGGAUUCUUUCAAGGAAAAAGACGAUGAAUUAGUUUUACCUACCGACAUAUGCCCGAAUAAUUUGACAACUUAGGACUGCAUUUUAGACAUAUGACGUAAUACAUGUCAUAAUUAUUAUAUUAGUAUAGUUAAAAGCAAAAAAAAAAACAAAAAAAAAACCCAGAUCGAUAACAGUAAAACAGUGUGCUGUGAAAAAUAUGAAACCACUUGAAGAAGCACUCAAUUUAUGAUGCAUUAAACAUAUAUCGAAAAAAAAA